rnacentral:rRNA from 1 species
GGGUUGUGAGGUUAAGCGACUAAGCGUACACGGUGGAUGCCUAGGCAGUCAGAGGCGAUGAAGGGCGUGCUAAUCUGCGAAAAGCGUCGGUAAGCUGAUAUGAAGCGUAAUAACCGACGAUACCCGAAUGGGGAAACCCAGUGCAAUUCGUUGCACUAUCGUUAGAUGAAUACAUAGUCUAACGAGGCGAACCGGGGGAACUGAAACAUCUAAGUACCCCGAGGAAAAGAAAUCAACCGAGAUUCCCCCAGUAGCGGCGAGCGAACGGGGAGGAGCCCAGAGUCUGAAUCAAGUGGUGUGUUAGUGGAAGCGUCUGGAAAGUCGCACGGUACAGGGUGAUAGUCCCGUACACCAAAACACACUGCCUGUGAACUCGAUGAGUAGGGCGGGACACGUGACAUCCUGUCUGAAUAUGGGGGGACCAUCCUCCAAGGCUAAAUACUCCUGACUGACCGAUAGUGAACCAGUACCGUGAGGGAAAGGCGAAAAGAACCCCGGCGAGGGGAGUGAAAUAGAACCUGAAACCGUGUACGUACAAGCAGUGGGAGCACCUUCGUGGUGUGACUGCGUACCUUUUGUAUAAUGGGUCAGCGACUUAUAUUUUGUAGCAAGGUUAACCGAAUAGGGGAGCCGUAGGGAAACCGAGUCUUAACUGGGCGUCUAGUUGCAAGGUAUAGACCCGAAACCCGGUGAUCUAGCCAUGGGCAGGUUGAAGGUUGGGUAACACUAACUGGAGGACCGAACCGACUAAUGUUGAAAAAUUAGCGGAUGACUUGUGGCUGGGGGUGAAAGGCCAAUCAAACCGGGAGAUAGCUGGUUCUCCCCGAAAGCUAUUUAGGUAGCGCCUCGUGAACUCAUCUUCGGGGGUAGAGCACUGUUUCGGCUAGGGGGCCAUCCCGGCUUACCAAACCGAUGCAAACUCCGAAUACCGAAGAAUGUUAUCACGGGAGACACACGGCGGGUGCUAACGUCCGUCGUGAAGAGGGAAACAACCCAGACCGCCAGCUAAGGUCCCAAAGUCAUGGUUAAGUGGGAAACGAUGUGGGAAGGCAUAGACAGCCAGGAUGUUGGCUUAGAAGCAGCCAUCAUUUAAAGAAAGCGUAAUAGCUCACUGGUCGAGUCGGCCUGCGCGGAAGAUGUAACGGGGCUAAACCAUGCACCGAAGCUGCGGCAGCGACGCUUAGGCGUUGUUGGGUAGGGGAGCGUUCUGUAAGCCGUUGAAGGUGGUCUGUGAGGGCUGCUGGAGGUAUCAGAAGUGCGAAUGCUGACAUAAGUAACGAUAAUGCGGGUGAAAAACCCGCACGCCGGAAGACCAAGGGUUCCUGUCCAACGUUAAUCGGGGCAGGGUGAGUCGACCCCUAAGGCGAGGCUGAAAAGCGUAGUCGAUGGGAAACAGGUUAAUAUUCCUGUACUUGGUGUUACUGCGAAGGGGGACGGAGAAGGCUAGGCUAGCCGGGCGACGGUUGUCCCGGUUUAAGCAUGUAGGCGGAGUGACUUGGUAAAUCCGGUUGCUUAUCAACGCUGAGGUGUGAUGACGAUGCACUACGGUGCAGAAGUAGUUGAUGCCAUGCUUCCAGGAAAAGCCUCUAAGCAUCAGGUAACAUGAAAUCGUACCCCAAACCGACACAGGUGGUCAGGUAGAGAAUACUCAGGCGCUUGAGAGAACUCGGGUGAAGGAACUAGGCAAAAUGGUGCCGUAACUUCGGGAGAAGGCACGCUGGCGCUAGGUGAAGAGACUUGCUCUCGGAGCUGAAGCCAGUCGCAGAUACCAGCUGGCUGCAACUGUUUAAUAAAAACACAGCACUGUGCAAACACGAAAGUGGACGUAUACGGUGUGACGCCUGCCCGGUGCUGGAAGGUUAAUUGAUGGGGUCAGCCGCAAGGCGAAGCUCUUGAUCGAAGCCCCAGUAAACGGCGGCCGUAACUAUAACGGUCCUAAGGUAGCGAAAUUCCUUGUCGGGUAAGUUCCGACCUGCACGAAUGGCGUAAUGAUGGCCAGGCUGUCUCCACCCGAGACUCAGUGAAAUUGAACUCGCUGUGAAGAUGCAGUGUACCCGCGGCAAGACGGAAAGACCCCGUGAACCUUUACUAUAGCUUGACACUGAACAUUGAGCCUUGAUGUGUAGGAUAGGUGGGAGGCAUUGAAGUGUGGACGCCAGUCUGCAUGGAGCCAACCUUGAAAUACCACCCUUUAAUGUUUGAUGUUCUAACUCGGCCCCAUUAUCUGGGGUGAGGACAGUGUCUGGUGGGUAGUUUGACUGGGGCGGUCUCCUCCCAAAGAGUAACGGAGGAGCACGAAGGUUAGCUAAUCACGGUCGGACAUCGUGAGGUUAGUGCAAAGGCAUAAGCUAGCUUGACUGCGAGAGUGACGGCUCGAGCAGGUACGAAAGUAGGUCUUAGUGAUCCGGUGGUUCUGAAUGGAAGGGCCAUCGCUCAACGGAUAAAAGGUACUCCGGGGAUAACAGGCUGAUACCGCCCAAGAGUUCAUAUCGACGGCGGUGUUUGGCACCUCGAUGUCGGCUCAUCACAUCCUGGGGCUGAAGUAGGUCCCAAGGGUAUGGCUGUUCGCCAUUUAAAGUGGUACGCGAGCUGGGUUUAGAACGUCGUGAGACAGUUCGGUCCCUAUCUGCCGUGGGCGUUGGAAGAUUGAGAGGGGCUGCUCCUAGUACGAGAGGACCGGAGUGGACGAAUCACUGGUGUUCGGGUUGUCAUGCCAAUGGCAUUGCCCGGUAGCUAAAUUCGGAAGAGAUAACCGCUGAAAGCAUCUAAGCGGGAAACUUGCCUCGAGAUGAGUCUUCCCUGGGGCUUCAAGCCCCCUGAAGGAACGUUAAAGACGAUGACGUUGAUAGGCUGGGUGUGUAAGUGCAGCGAUGCAUUGAGCUAACCAGUACUAAUGAUCCGUGAGGCUUAACCUUACAACACCAAAGGUGUUUUG